rnacentral:lncRNA from 1 species
GAAAGAGAAGGCAGCGAACCGAAUUCCUUUCAUGUAAGCUCUUCUCACUUGCUUUAGGCCACCGGACACAACUAACCGAAUCCAAGGCUCGGCCUUUUCACGCGGAGGGGCCGGCUCAACAGUGGCCAGAGGGAGGAGCCACGGGGCACCAAACUGGCUACAUUUUGGAUGUUUGUGAUACAUCAAUCUUGCUUGGUUAUAAUUUUAUUUUUGCAUUGUUUACAGAGAAAGUAUGUGCAAGUCAAAUCAUUAGUUAAAAAAAAAUUGAAGGGAAAAAGUUCAACCAUCAUCAUCAUCACUAAAUUUUUCUAAGUGACUUUUAAGCAAAUUUACUGAAUGCUGCUAAUUACAAAUGAGAUUUAUUAUUUCACUCAAACAGACUUGGAUGACAUUUAACAUGAAAAUGUGUUAUUCAAAUUACUAUAUGUGUAAGUCAUAGUGCUACAACCUACUUUUUAUAGUAUUAUACUUAGUUCUGUAGAAGAAAAUUAUUUUGACUAAUUUCUUAAAUACACUUAUUUUAGUUUUAAAACAUCAAUUUUUAAGUGGAAGUGCUUAUACUUACACAGGAUAACAUAUUAAAUUCAGUUAAAGGUAAGUGCCAUUUUCCAAUAUUCUAUCUUUGAUUACUUCUUCUCCCCUUUCUAUUUUCCCUACUCUUCUAGAACAGGUACAAAAUUGUUUACAUGUGCACACACACACUCCUUGCGUUCAUGUGGAUGGGGAGACAUUAAGCAGGCUGCAACAAUGGCCCUGACUUUCUUCCCUCAAUAAAUUGACUAGCUGAACUGCUAGCCUCAAUUUUUCAGUCACUUACAAUGGAUCUCUCUCUUCUUCUAUUUCCCCUCUUGCAAGGCUAUUACAUUUGCUUUAAAAUGAUCCUUCUAAGUGUUACAAUUGAUGAAGAAAGUUUUAAGACUCUAAUUAAGAAUUUGCAGAAUGUAAUUAAGCAGGUUUUGCUUUACAUUUCUUUUUGAAUCAUUUUUCUUUCAUAAAUAAGAGUAAAAAUCUCAAAGAUUGAUGAAAUUUGCCAAGGAUAGUACCCAGACGUUAUGUGAUUAUCCGCACCCCUCUCCAUUUUAGAUUACAAAUAUUGAAGAAAGGAGAUUAUUUUACGAAUUAAAUACAAAGUUCUAUAAGGGAAAUUGAUUUUCUCUCUAAUUUGUUUUAAUGUUAUUUUUUUGUUGUGUUUACUGUCAGGCAAAGUAUCAGAAAGCAAAUCUUUUUUUGUUGUUUGAGGAAGAUUAGCUCUAAGCUAACAUCUGCUGCCAAUCCUCCUCAUUUUGCUCAGGAAGACUGGCCCUGAGCUAACAUCUGUGCCCAUCUCCCUCUAUUUUAUAUGUGAGACGCCUGCCACAGCAUGGCGUGAUAAGCAUGUGUAGGGCCGUGCCUGGGAUCUGAAGCGGUGAACCCCAGGCCGCUGAAGCAGAGCGUGUGAACUUAAAAGCUGCACCACUGGGCUGGCCUUAACAAAUCUUUUCGUUUAGUGUCAAUGGUAGCUUUUUUGAUGCAUCAUUUCUUCAGAUUUUCCCACUGGACUCCCAUUGGCUAUAUAACACCUGACUGGAGGACUAGAUUCUCUUUUCAAUUUACUGACGUUAUUUUAAGUGUCUAAGUUUUCCCUGGAUUUGAACAAGUAAAUUUUGUUGUAUUUUGUUUUGUUUUGGUAAUUAUAGCCAUUCUAAUAGGUGUAAGGUGAUAUCUCAUUGUAGUUCUAACUUGCACUUCCCUAAUGAUUAGUGAUGUUAAACAUCCUCUCAUGUGCCUAUUGGCUAUCCGUAUAUCUUCCUUGGGAAAAUAUCUGUUCAUAGACUUUCCCCUUUUUUUUUUUUUUGGUGAGGAAGAUUGGCCCUGAGCUAACAUCUGUGCCAAUCUCCCUCUAUUUUGUAUGUAGCAUGCUGCCACAGCAUGGCUUGAUGAGUGGUGUGUAGGUCCAUGCCUAGAAUCUGAACCCACAAACUCUGGACCACCAAAGCAGAGUGCAUAAACUUAACCACUACACCACCUGGCCAACCUUGAACAAGUAAAUCUUGAUUAAACCUGUACAGAGACUGCUGGUACCUAAUAUGUAUUUUUCUCAUUUAUAUGACUGCCAGCUAGACUACGAUUUCAUAUCCCUUGCAUCUAAGUAGUGCCAUAUCACAUUUCUCAGUAAUAGAAUGUGAGUGUAAGAGACACAUGUCAUUUCCUGGCUGAGGUGGUUAAAAGCAGGUGUCCUUUCUCCAUGCUCUCUUUCCCAUCUAUCAGCUGAAGAGAGAGAGCUUCAAGCAUAUAGAAGAGGACAAAGCUACAGGCUCAAAGGAGCCCAUGUCCCUACAUUCCUGAAUAAGGCAAAGAGAGGCCCUUCCCCACAUGCUUGUGACUAACUUCAGCAAGAAAUAAAAUUUUAUUACUAAACAUUGAGAUAUGGAGGAUUUUGUUUUUGGCAAGUUAAGGAACUCAAAAUAAGACAAGCAUGAGCCCAUCUACCACAUAAAAUUAGAGAGAUUCAGCGACAUAUAGCAUGCUGUGUUAAAUUAAAUGUACUUAGCAAAAUAGUUUUCAAUACGUAUUUUCUGGGUCUCAAACACUGUCAAUGGCUCUUGUUCUGGAAUGUGGCUUUCUUCAUCAGGCAGAUUGAAGCUUUUUAUUUGCUUCAAAUUUCUUCUGAUAUUCUUACCUUUAUACUAUAACUGUCAAAGAACAAAUCAAAAAACAAAGGACUGAAAUUCAAAAAAAAGAGAGAAAGAGAUAUUCCAUGAGAUUUUCAGAGUAUAGAUAUGCCAAGAAGAAUGAGUGAUCCAGUUGCUGAAAUUAAUUUUCCCCCAAAUUGAUUCACAGUUAUUUUAAUAUAUCAAAUCAUUAUCAGUGUCUUGACAUUUUCUAUAGUAGAAUAAAGCCAAAGUAACCUUUUACAAAGAUUAUAUUAUGAUACCAUAGAGCUAGUUCCUAAAUGAGUAAAAACAUUUGGUUUUUAACAAAAUUGUAUGUGAUAUAAAGUCUUAAACCUAAAGAUAAUUUCUUAAUAUAAAAAUUGACAAUGAACCUUUUCUGGUUACUUCAGGCAAUGACUACAUAAAAAUCAAUGUCUCCAGUUUUGGUAUCCCUUUCUAACUUUUAUAAACCAAUUUUUAAAAUUGCAUGCUAUCAAAUAUAUUUGUAUAUAUUUCCUAUGUGAUUCGCAUAUAUCGCUUACUUCUUCACUUAGGCUUUAACUCACUUGAGACUGUCCAGAAUCCAAAACUUUGUAUUCCCCAAGACACCUAGCAAAAUGCUGGACAUAUAAUAAGCAUGAAAUCAACAUAUGCUUGCUCUUCUUCCAAUAUAGAUGGCUUUAAGAAUUGAUUCUCAGUGCCUAGGAUUGGUUACAGCUGUCGCUGGUUAGGCUCAAGGUGUUGUCUUUCUACCACCUCUUCAGCAAAAGGUAGAAUCAACAUGGUAGAAUGCUAUUUGUAUGAAGAAAAUCAAAGGAAAAAUUGUCCAACAUUGGCCAGUUUCCAGUGUAGAUAUAGCCUGAUAAGAAAAAUUAUUUACACAUAAUAUUGAGAGUGGUGUUGAAAGAAUUUAUUUUUCUGAUUUUAUAUCUUUAACAUUUUAAAAUAGCAUAUUUAGCCAUGGAAAUACGGAUUUUAUUAAUACAAAAUCAAAAUGUAUUAAAAUUCCUGUUUUCACAUGAGUAGUCAAGUCUAGACAAUCAUAUACAUAUUGAUUUUCUAUAAAUACUUUAAAGCAUUUCUCCAGAAAUCCUUGUCUUUUGUCUGACUAGAAGAACACCAUUAGAAAGAAUCAUGUCAUGUUGUAGCAUCUCAGUUGUCACUCUCUCUUUACUCCUCAUUAUUGUCUUCUUGUUGAAUCUAUAAAAUACUAGAAUUCAAAAGAACAUCAAACCAUUGAGACUACAAGUUUACAAUAAAAUAAAUUGACCGCUGACAAAAUUUUUCUGAGAAUAAAUUAGUAUUACCACUUUAAGGAGAAAUUACUGUAUAAUUAAUAAUACAAUUUAAUGAGUCCUCAAUCUUACAUUUUCACUUAUACAUAUGGGAGCCCUUUUGAUUUACACAACUACGUAAAUAAAAAUAAACUGUGAUUAAAAACUAAUAAAUAUUGAAAACAACUUUCUAAUUGCAAAAACAUGAGCUUAUAUAUUCUUUAAAGCAUAUGUGCUUAAUUUCAUAAUAUAUCUUAUAAGCCCCAGAUAUGAACUCUGGGGAGUACAUAAAUAUUUAUUGAGUAUUGAGAGCUGUAAGGAGUUAGGAAAUGAAUGCUCAUGUGCAUGAAUGUUAUCGCUAUUUACUAAGCAAGUGACUAAGUUCAUCUCUACAACUUUUGAAAGACUCAUAUGUGUGUGGUUCUGUCAAAGUAAUAUUUACUUUCAAACCCAUUAGAUAGACCCUGUGCAAGAUGCUUUCAUAUACAGUAUCUUUUUCAGGAAUUCCCAAUUGAUAGGCCAUGGCACACUGGUAUGCCAUGAAGAGAUAAUAGAAGUGCUACCUAAAAUAUCAAUGCCUCAUCCCAUAGGAGUGGCCGGAGGAACCAGCUGUAGGGAAAGCCAACAAGGCCACUUGUCUCUGCUCAAGUGGUUUCAUUUGGUUUCCUCAAAGGACUGCCCAAGUGGAACAGAUUCAUGGGCAUGCCCUUCAAACCACACUGCCUGUGAGAACAAUGAGCAAAACUGUCUGUUGCUGUUCCGUCACAAUGCCCUGAGCAUGGUCAAUGAAUUGCUCUACCCUUGUACAUAUCCUUCCACAGUCUGCAGUAGCAUGUGCCACACUCCUUCUUGGAUAAGCAGUCUAUGGGGUUGCUGGGAGUAUGUGUUCCAUGAACUCAACUGUUUAAAAGUCUUCUUAAAUACAUAUAGCCAUUUCAUGGAAGCAAGGUUAGAUUAUUCUUAAAUUUGCUAUUCAUUUCACUAGCACUUUUAAUUUUCCUGUCAUAAUUGUAUUGCAUAGGAAUUUUCACUACAUCAUAUCCUAAAUAGGUAUACACAAAUCCCUUCUAUCUUACUCCAGUUUGUCAUAUACAUUUAAUUUUGCAUGUAUGAAAGGAUAUGAAAAAUAUUUGGACAUUUAUAACCAUUUUAAUAUUAACAGAAAACAAACAUAUAUUAAUUUCUAUCAAUGUUUAAAUGUAAAGUUGUGAAUGUUAUAGGCAUGCAGGAACAAUCUAGAUCCACACCUUAUGAGUUGAUAAUUAUCUUAAAGUUUGAAUACUUGUGAUCAUUUAUCAGCACACAGCACUUAUAUGGCACUUGACAGGCCUUAUGCAUACAAUAUUAUUUAAUUUUUACAACUCUAUGAAGAAGAUAUUAUUGUCCCUAUUUCAUAGAUAUGUGAACCAGGUAAUUUCCCAAGAUCACAGAGCCGAUACAUAGUAGAGCUGAAGUCUAAACUAUGGUGUCUGCUAACACUAUAUACUCUCUCCAAAUUGUUAGUUACACGAAUCUGAACUUCUAUUUAAAUGUUAUGAGGAACUUGUAGCCUAAAUUCCCACUAUAAAUCAGGUAAUAAAGAGCACAUUAACAAACAUCACUAAUCCCUACUACAACAUUUAUUUGUUUUGCAGUUGCUUCCUUUCUAUAUGAUUGGUCUUUGAAAAUUUAAUCUUCCUACAAAUAUGUUCUCUCUUGUAUUACCAACCUUUAGGGAUAAUAAAUGGUAGGUGAGAAGGAUGGAGGGAAGACUCGACAUCAGUACAUUGACUAGGUUUGGUGGCUCAGCUAAAUCAAGAAAUUAAAUUGAGGCAAUGUCUACUACUUCUAGUGGAUAAUUUCACAUCAAAAAAAAAAAAAA